GCCGCACUUAGUAGAAUCGGGAAACUCAUCAAUUAUAAAGAAAUACCGAGACAGGCUUCAUCUUCCAAUGGCGGGCCACGCCUUCGGGUAGCAUUUAUGCCGGUGGAUUACAAAGGAGGAGAGCACUCAAAUCAUGUUAUUCGGAGUUUCGUCACGUCACGGGUGCGGCUUUUUU
rnacentral:sRNA from 1 species